GUAGCCUAAGAAUAAGGAUCGGCUAACUCCGUGCCAGCAGCCGCGGUAAUACGGAGGAUACGAGCGUUAUCCGGAUUUAUUGGGUUUAAAGGGUGCGUAGGUGGCUGAUUAAGUCAGUGGUGAAAAGCUAUGGCUCAACCAUAGUCUUGCCGUUGAUACUGGUUAGCUUGAGUGUAGAUGAUGUAGGCGGAAUGCGUAGUGUAGCGGUGAAAUGCAUAGAUAUUACGCAGAACUCCGAUUGCGAAGGCAGCUUACAAAACUACUACUGACACUGAGGCACGAAAGCGUGGGUAUCAAACAGGAUUAGAUACCCUGGUAGUCCACGCCGUAAACUAUGAUUACUCAGAGUAUGCGAUAUACAGUAUGCUCUCAAGCGAAAGCAUUAAGUAAUCCACCUGGGGAGUACGUCGGCAACGAUGAAACUCAAA
rnacentral:rRNA from 1 species